AUUGAACGCUGGCGGCAUGCUUUACACAUGCAAGUCGAACGGUAACAGGCCUUCGGGCGCUGACGAGUGGCGAACGGGUGAGUAACGCAUCGGAACGUGCCCAGUCGUGGGGGAUAACUAUCCGAAAGGAUAGCUAAUACCGCAUACGAUCUGCGGAUGAAAGCGGGGGACCUUCGGGCCUCGCGCGAUUGGAGCGGCCGAUGUCAGAUUAGGUAGUUGGUGGGGUAAAGGCUCACCAAGCCAACGAUCUGUAGCUGGUCUGAGAGGACGACCAGCCACACUGGGACGGAGACACGGCCCAGACUCCUACGGGAGGCAGCAGUGGGGAAUUUUGGACAAUGGGCGCAAGCCUGAUCCAGCAAUGCCGCGUGCAGGAAGAAGGCCUUCGGGUUGUAAACUGCUUUUGUACGGAACGAAACGGCUCUGGUUAAUACCCGGGGCUAAUGACGGUACCGUAAGAAUAAGCACCGGCUAACUACGUGCCAGCCGCCGCCGUAAUAC
rnacentral:rRNA from 1 species